rfam:Strongylocentrotus purpuratus Contig9876_fixed, whole genome shotgun sequence.
GGGGGUUUAGCUCAGUAGGCAGAGCGUUCGACUUAAGAUCGGAAGGUCUCGGGUUCGAUUCCCGCUGCCUCCA